rnacentral:rRNA from 1 species
CAGGGAAUCUUGCGCAAUGGGCGAAAGCCUGACGCAGCGACACCGCGUGGAGGAUGAAGGUCUUAGGAUCGUAAACUCCUUUUAUCAGGGAAGAGAAAGGACGGUACCUGAUGAAUAAGGAUCGGCUAACUACGUGCCAGCAGCCGCGGUAAUACGUAGGAUCCGAGCGUUGUCCGAAUUUACUGGGCGUAAAGAGCGCGUAGGCGGUUUGUUAAGUCUCAUGUGUAAUCUCCCGGCUCAACUGGGAGGGGUCAUGGGAUACUGGCAGACUUGAGGAUAGCAGAGGAAAGCGGAAUUCCCGGAGUAGUGGUGAAAUGCGUAGAUACCGGGAGGAACACCAGAGGCGAAGGCGGCUUUCUGGGCUAUUUCUGACGCUGAGGCGCGAAAGCGUGGGGAGCGAACCGG